GCUUACCGCGUGAGUGAGAAGGCUUCGAGUUGUAAAGCUCUCGACAUCCGGGAAAAAAGCGAUGAUCUCGGGGAACGUGCGUGUACUGUGAUGCUCCCGGAGGAAGAAGCACCGGCUAACUCUGUGCCAGCAGCCGCGGUAAUACAGAGGGUGCAAGCGUUGUUCGGAAUUACUGGGCGUCAAGCGUGCGUAGUCGGUAUUGAGAGUCGCGGGUGAAAUCCCAGGGCUUAACCCUGGAACUGCCUGCGAGACCUCAGUACUAGAGUGUGAGAGGGGAUAGUGGAAUACCAAGUGUAGCGGUAAAAUGCGUAGAGAUAAGGUGGAACACCGGUGGCGAACGCAGCUAUCUGGCUCACAACUGACGAUCAGGCACGAAAGCGUGGGUAGCAAACAGGAUUAGAUACCCUGAUAGUCCAAGCCGUAAACUAUGCAUACAAGCUGUAGUGGGGAUUUUCUCCUGCUGUGGCGAAGCUAACGCAAUCAGUAUGCCGCCUGAGGAGUACGGUCGCAAGAGUAAAACUCACAGGAAUUGACGGGGGCCCGCACAAGCGGUGGAUUAUGUGGUUUAAUUCGAAGCAACGCGCAGAACCUUACCUGGGUGUGACAUCCCAAGACAUCCGUAGAAAUACGGCAUUGUAACAAUACACAUGGAGACA
rnacentral:rRNA from 1 species